rnacentral:rRNA from 1 species
AUUGAACGCUGGCGGCAUGCCUUACACAUGCAAGUCGAACGGCAGCACGGGGCAACCUGGUGGCGAGUGGCGAACGGGUGAGUAAUGCAUCGGAACGUGCCAUUGAGUGGGGGAUAACGUAGCGAAAGUUGCGCUAAUACCGCAUAUUCUGUGAGCAGGAAAGCAGGGGACCGCAAGGCCUUGCGCUCUUUGAGCGGCCGAUGUCAGAUUAGCUAGUUGGUGAGGUAACGGCUUACCAAGGCGACGAUCUGUAGCGGGUCUGAGAGGAUGAUCCGCCACACUGGAACUGAGACACGGUCCAGACUCCUACGGGAGGCAGCAGUGGGAAUUUUGGACAAUGGGCGCAAGCCUGAUCCAGCCAUGCCGCGUGAGUGAAGAAGGCCUUCGGGUUGU